CAAGUGUGCCUGCCUGAGCGGAAAGAAAGGAACGGGGCUGCGCGCUAGCCGCAGCGGCUCUCGCUUAAGGGGCGUGGUUUCUGAUGCGCAGCGGCAGUUGGGCGGCGUCAAAGUCCCGUGUCGGUUAGUGAGGCGGAAAAGUCGGUGGCCAGACCAGCCAGCCGCUGCCAACCCUGGCCUCCCUCCCUCCUCGCUACCUCGGGGACCUCCGCCGCUAUCGCUAGCACAAGUUGCGCGACGACGACCACAAGUACCACUUCGAGAAGAAGCGGUACAAGGUCUACUUCGAGCAGCAGUAGGAGAAGAUGGAGCAGCAGCAGGAGAAGCGGGAGCGGAAGAGGCCGGCGCCGGGGCGGCCGAAGAUCCAAUCCAGGAAGCAAAAAAAGGGGGAACGAAGCCAACCGAGGGCUAGGUAGGAAGUCCGACAUGUCGUCACGAAGUAGAAGCUCUCUUAUGAUCAUCUAGUAUGGAUGGAGCCACGUACAGACCAACCAAUCCUCUCUAGAUCAGACACUACCACUACUGAGGCUCGACGUUUAACACACUUCAGCCGGUUAAUUGUUCACGAUCAUGUCGAAAUAUACUCGGGAUCAACGUCUAACACACCUAAUGAGCGGCGAAAGAAGCUAACGAGACACGUUAAAAUGAACACCUAAGCACUACAUCGGAGACGAUACCGAGGAGAAGAACUUUUAGGUCUCUGUCUCAAGAAAAGAAAGAGGAUCAAGCACUAUCUGUU
rnacentral:rRNA from 1 species